UCUAACGGCUUANCCGUUAAACUGCUUGGGAAACUGAUAAUCUAGAGUAAGGGAGAGGCAGAUGGAAUUCUUGGUGUAGGGGUAAAAUCCGUAGAUNUCAAGAAGAAUACCUAUUGCGAAGGCGAUCUGCUGGAACUUAACUGACGCUAAUGCGUGAAAGCGUGGGGAGCAAACAGGAUUAGAUACCCUGGUAGUCCACGCCCUAAACGAUGUAUACCGGUUGUUGCUGUGCUAGUCACGGCAGUAAUCCACCUAACGGAUUAAGUAUACCGCCUGGGGAGUACGGUCGCAAGAUUAAAACUCAAAGGAAUAGACGGGGACCCGCACAAGCGGUGGAGCAUGUGGUUUAAUUCGAAGAUACGCGAAGAACCUUACCCGGACUUGAUAUCUAACAAAUCAUCCAGAGAUGGAAGAGUGUCUGCUUGCAGAAAUGUUAAGACAGGUGCUGCACGGCUGUCGUCAGCUCGUGUCGUGAGAUGUUGGGUUAAGUCCCGCAACGAGCGCAACCCACGUCAUUAGUUGCUAACGGUUCGGCCGAGCACUCUAAUGAGACUGCCUUCGUAAGGAGGAGGAAGGUGUGGACGACGUCAAGUCAUCAUGGCCCUUAUGUCCGGGGCGACACACGUGCUACAAUGGCAUAUACAAUAAGACGCAAUAUCGUAAGAUGGAGCAAAUCUAAAAAAUAUGUCCCAGUUCGGAUUGGAGUCUGCAACUCGACUCCAUGAAGCCGGAAUCGCUAGUAAUCGUAGAUCAGCCAUGCUACGGUGAAUACGUUCCCGGGUC
rnacentral:rRNA from 1 species